rnacentral:lncRNA from 1 species
AGAGGAGAAUGAGAUUGGCUUCCAAAUGUUGGUCAAGAGCUCUACGUAGCAUGAGCCAAGGAUCUAUUGAACUUAGUAGGCUCCUGUGACCGGUGACUCUUCUGUCUCUAGAAAUCUGGGGAGGUGACCAGGUCAUACAUGGCAGUCUUCCCGUGAGGAACGUUAAACUGGUUGGAAGUUGGGGUUCUGAGGGGAAGAUGUAUUCACUAGGUGACCUGUCUUCUCUGCCUCGGUGGCCUCCAUGGCUGCCUGCUGGCCGCACACCCCCACUCAGCAGAGGAAUGGACUUUCCAAUCUUGCUGAGUGUGUUUGACCAAAGGUGGUGCUGACUUAGUGGCCUAAGGUCGUGCCCUCCCUCCCCCACUGAAUCGAUAAAUAAUGCGACUUAUCAGAAAGAGAAAGAAUUGUUUACUUUUAAACCCUGGAUCCCAUAAAGGGAGAGGGGAGAGGCCUAAAGCCACAGAAGCUGUGGAAGGCGCCAUCCUGCCUGCCACAGGAAGGGCCUUGGACUGAGAGGACCGGAGCUGACUGGGGAUUAUUCAAAGCCAAAAGCCAACAGAGCCCCCAUGGAGAAGUGGAGGAUGCUCAGAUACUGCUAUGGAGCCCUGAGAAGUGAAAUGGGUCCAAGCCCUUGCCCAGGAUAGAGCGCUCCAAGCGCAUCCUCCGGGGACCCUUUUAAUCAGUGAAUUGUUCACCUCUCACUGUUUCUUCCCAGCAGAGCUAAGAGACUUCUAGAGCCUCUUGUGGAUGGUCAGCGAUAGCCCUGGUAUGACCAGGAGGUGGCGAUUUCUGUUCUAGGUCCCUCAGCAAAGACUAAGCAGGACAAGCCUGGCUACUGUGUUAGGAGGAGCUGUAGGGAAAGGGAAGGACAAGAUGGGCCACCACAUGCCUGUGUCCACUGCUGGCCACACCCAGAGUGCUAGGGGUUUGUGGCAGUGACUGGGGCCACCUAGAGCAGUUCUAGGGUUCGUAGUCAUUCUCUCUGAGUCAUGGAAAACUGCCCAGGAGGCGAGUCCCACCUAAGAGAGUAUGUGUAGCACUGGCACGGCCUGCUGCCUUGCAAAUGACCACAUUUCAUGAAAGAAAGCCAGGGCCACAGACAGGAACCAAAGGAAAUCAGUCACUUAGGGGAAGAUAACGAAUCCACAAAGUGAAAAAGGGAAAGAAAAAAAGAGGCAACUUCAACACUCCAACCCAUGGGAGCAGAACGACUUUCAGCUUUCGCAGGGGGAUAAUCACUGCAAGUCCAGCUUGAAGAGGGUGAUUUCAGGAUCUACAUGAGAAUAAGGCGCAAUUUUUUUUUUUUUUUUCUGAAAAAUACGGAAGGGUUCAUUUACAGCUGUUAAAGAUGGGCCGGUUUUAGGGCUAAAGCAAGACUCUGGUCAGAUGUUAACAACUCAGUUAUCCUGGGGAAAAAAUAACUGGCUCCCAACCCUUUCCCUUUUCAGCAUUUGCAGGAAAA